CUGAAGCAAAGGCAAGGUGACUUUGCUGUAACUCAGCAGUCUUUUUAAAAUGUUAUCUUCCCCCCCUUCGUAGGUCCUCAGAACACUGCCAUUAAGGGCUUCGAGGUGAAGAUACAUUAGAUUAAAAAUAUAGCAGACAGAAACUCUGAAGCACUUUAAGAAAGCUUGGUCUGCAAGAAAUCCUCGUCUUGGCUCCAGUCGUCAGAAAACUUGAUCUUUAUCAGAGGUGAGAAAUUGCUGUUGAUACCACACUGCUUAUGAGGACUCAGGCAGGUGUCCCGAGAAAUCAACCCGUUGUGAGAGGAUCCAUAACAACUUUGUAAGAGCCGUUGGGAAGAGGAGGAGUACACGUGGCUGGUGCAUGAACCUUGAAAUGAUGAGUGAAUGAAGGCAGGAGUUACUGGAACGAAGGUAGGGAUUCAACGAAGACUUCCAGACAGCUCUGCAUGGUGUUUAGAGAGCAGCCCCCUGUUGAAGCUCUUCUCUCUUUCCAGCCAAUUCAACGAAAGGAACCAGGAACUGAGGAGGAAGGAAGUAAUUGACAUUCAAAGCCUCUAUUUUUAGACACCUUUACACUUUCCUUUGCUUCUAACUAGCAAGGAUUUUUCCAAACAAGCUUUUAAUUAGCAGGUGAGUUUAAUUGAUAUGUGGGUUUCUCAGAAGGGGAAAGGACUUCAGUGUGGAAAA